CACGUAGGGGGCAAGCGUUGUCCGGAUUUAUUGGGCGUAAAGGGCUCGUAGGCGGUUUGUCGCGUCGGGAGUGAAAACCUCGGGCUUAACUCGGGGCUUGCUUUCGAUACGGGCAGACUAGAGGUAUGCAGGGGAGAACGGAAUUCCUGGUGUAGCGGUGAAAUGCGCAGAUAUCAGGAGGAACACCGGUGGCGAAGGCGGUUCUCUGGGCAUGAUCUGACGCUGAGGAGCGAAAGUGUGGGGAGCGAACAGG
rnacentral:rRNA from 1 species